AUAACACUCCCUCCGUCCGAAAAUACUUGUCCUAGAAAUGAAUGUAUCUAGACUUAUUUUAGUUAUAGAUACAUCCAUUUUAUCCAUUUCUAGGACAAGUAUUUCUGAACGAAGGGAGUAUUCA
rnacentral:pre_miRNA from 1 species